rnacentral:ncRNA from 1 species
UAUAAGUUUGAUUCUUGCUUUAAAUGUUCGCUUUUCAAUUAAUAACAUAUGAAAAAUCUAGUACUCCCAGGCUAACAAGUUCAAAACUCAAAGCUCUAAUAGAUCUCAGUGUGUAUUAUUUUCAUAUCAGUGAAAACUGGAAAAAGUAAAUUGAAUUAUCUCCGGCUAAAUCUUGUGCCAGCAGUCGCGGUUAUACUCGAAGGGAGAGUGAAUACAAGUCGAUAUUUAACUCUUAUGCCAACAAACAAUGAUUUUUUUUAAUUUUAUAAAGGGUGAAAUCAAUUUUUCAAAGAUAAAUAAAUCAACCCGUCUCAAUUAAUAAGUUAACAAAUAAAGGAAAUAAACAAGGAUUAGAUACCCUCCUAUACCUUUAAGAAAAAUUUAUAUCUGAUUAGUAACAGCUAUGUGCUCUAAAUUCAAAGAAUUUGGCGGUAUUUUAGUCUAAUUAGGGGAACCUGUCUUUUAAACGAUAAACCACGAAAAAUCUUACCUAUAUUACAUAGUUUGUAUACCGUCAUUAAGAUAACUUUUACAGAACAAGUUAUUGAAAUAAUUACGUUAAAAUAUUAGAUCAAGGUGCAGCAAAUAUAUAGGCUAAGAUGGGUUACAAUAAAAUUUAUAUUAUCACGAACAAAUUUUAGAAUACAAAUUUUGAAGGUGGACUUAAAAGUAAGGUUUGCUUUAAUAAGACAGCCUGAUUUUAGCUCUAAAAUGUGCACAUAUCGCCCGUCGCUUUCAUUAACCUAAGAUGAGAUAAGUCGUAACAUAGUAGGUGUACUGGAAAGUGUACCUGGAAAGCA